UGAUUCUUUGUGUACUUUUCCACAGCUUUCUUGAACUGCAUACAUAUAACAAAAAAAUCUGAUUUUUUUUUGAUUUUUUUUUACUUUUAUAAAGAAAAAAUUUAGAUGGAAAGAAUUAAAUUGUUGCGGUUCAAUAAAGCUGUGGGAAGAUACAUAUAGGAUCA